AGUGAACGCUGGCGGUAGGCCUAACACAUGCAAGUCGAACGGCAGCACAGAGGAGCUUGCUCCUUGGGUGGCGAGUGGCGGACGGGUGAGGAAUACAUCGGACUCUACUCUGUCGUGGGGGAUAACGUAGGGAAAUUUACGCUAAUACCGCAUACGACCUACGGGUGAAAGCAGGGGAUCUUCGGACCUUGCGCGAUUGCAUGCGCCGCUGUCGGAUUAGCUAGUUGGCGGGGUAAAGGCCCACCAAGGCGACGAUCCGUAGCUGGUCUGAACGGAUAAGCACCCACACAUGAACGGAGAAAGGGCUCAGACUCCUACGGGAAGCAGCAGUGCGGAAUAUUAGACAAUGGGCGCAAGCCUGAUCCAGCCAUACCGCGUGUGUGAAGAAGGCCUUCGGGUUGUAAAGCCCAUUUGUUGGGAAAGAAAUCCAUCUGGUUAAUACCCGGGUAGGAUGACAGUACCCAAAGAAUAAGCACCGGCUAACUUCGUGCCAGCCGCCGCGGUAA
rnacentral:rRNA from 1 species